rnacentral:tRNA from 1 species
GCGCCCAUAGCUCAGAUGGACAGAGCAACGGCCUUCUAAGCCGUGGGUCGGGGGUUCGAAUCCCUCUGGGCGCG